rnacentral:lncRNA from 1 species
AUUUCUGGCACUUCAGCGAAACCCCGAAACAUCUCGGCUGCGGUUUGGGGCCGUUUGGGGGCAUUUUGGGGCUGCGCGCGGACAUUUGGGGCAGCUCGGAAGCACCGGGGGCAAUUUGGGGGCCGUUUUGAGGGGUUUGGGGGACAUUUAGGGCGUUUGGGGGCGUUUGGGAGGUCUUCGGAGAAGCCCAUGCGCGCUUUGGGGCAGUUUCGGUGCAUUUUGGUGAACUUUGGGUGCAGUUCGGGCCAUUUCAGAGCUCUUCGGUUCCAUUUGGGGCCAUUUUGGUUCCAUUUGGGGCCAAUUUGGGUGCAUUUGGGGCCAAUUUGGGUGCAUUUGGGGCCAUUUUGGGCCUGCUUACAUGAAAUUGGCCCCUAGGGAUAAUUUUGGGACCAUUUGGGGGCAUUUUGGGUCGUUUUAGCGCUGUUUAACCGAGUUUUGGGCCUGUUCACCUGCACUUGGGACCAUUUUGGGACCAUUGGGGCACAUUUUGGGUCAACUCAGUGCAGUCUGGCUGCGUCUUGGGCCUAUUCAAGCCCAUUUUGGUGCACUUUAGGCCUUUUUGGGCCCUUUUUAGGGCCAUUUACCCACAUUUUGCUGCACUUUGGGUCACUCGGGGCCCAUUUUGUCACAUUUUACCCCACUUACCCACAUUCUGCUGCACUUUGGGCCUUUUGGGUCUCUUUUCAGCCCCCUUUACCCACGUUUUGCUGCCCUGUGGGUCACUUGGGGCCCGUUUGGUUGCAUUUUACCCCCGUUUACCCACAUUUCGGUACACUUCGGGCCAUUUGCGUUCCCUUUUAGGGCCAUUUACGCACAUUUUAGUGCACUUUGGGCCCACUUGUUCAUAUUUUACUCCCCUUACCCACAUUUUGCUGCACUUUGUGCCACUUGACGCCCGUUUGAUCACACUUUACCCCCAUUUACCCACACUUUUGUACACCUUACCUACACUUCACCCCCUCCGACACCCCUUCCCAGCCCCUCCUCCCCCAGCGCCGGGCCCUCAGGACCUUUGGGGUGCGGACCAGGAUUUUGGGGCGAGACCCGGCAUUUUCGGGGCCGGGG